rnacentral:rRNA from 1 species
GAUGAACGCUAGCGGCAGGCCUAACACAUGCAAGUCGGAGCGGUAGAGAGGUGCUUGCACCUCUUGAGAGCGGCGGACGGGUGAGUAAUGCCUAGGAAUCUGCCUGGUAGUGGGGGAUAACGCUCGGAAACGGACGCUAAUACCGCAUACGUCCUACGGGAGAAAGCAGGGGACCUUCGGGCCUUGCGCUAUCAGAUGAG